CACGGCGUCUGUUUCUAGGGAGAGGUAACCAAGGGAAAACAAAGUUAACAGGGCUAAAUCCUUGAUCAAGGUCAUGGUACAAGUCAGCGAAACCAGCGUCAAAGCCCUUGCGAACCUCAGCACCUUGUAAAGUACGAGAAGCAGUGUAAAUAGUCAUGACAGGCAUGGUCUUCAGCAAAUCAGCAACGCCUUCCUUACCAGGUCCGAAGUCAGGAGAAGUGCUGAGAAAAGCAUCCAUUUCGUUAAGAAUGAGGGGGACAUAAGAGCGGAAUUGAGAGAAGCCAAGACCAGAUUUGAUAAACUUCUUGUGCUCCAUAAAAACAUGGUUGGGAAUAUCGUAAACGACAUCUUUACCGAAUACAGGGGUAGUUAAAUGAGAGUAAGCUUCUUCAGCAUUCAAAUCAGCUAAUUUACCGUUAAAGAGGAAAUCAUUACCUUGGACACCAAGGAAAGCGGUCAUUUUACGACCCAUGCAAACAAAGGUGAAAACAUCACCAUAUUUGGCACGACACUCGCGAAAAAAUACAUAAGGGUCCAUACCGUAUGCGACAGCAGAACCUACAAAGGGUAUCCAAUGGAAGACAAUUGGGGGGCGUUUGC